rnacentral:lncRNA from 1 species
UCGGUCUGGCGCGGGAGGAUGGCGAGGUAGGGCGCCCACAACGAGUCCCCUCCGCGCGCAGCCUCCCUGAGGAUGAGCAGCGAGACGGAGACCCACGCCCCACUGCCCUCUCCCUCUCCUUCCCUUGCUCUCUCUCCCUCUCCUUCCCUUGCUCUCUCUCCCUCUCCUCCUCCUCACCGCCCCAUCUCUCUUUCUCUUUUCUUCAGGAACUGCCCCAUGGAGCCAUGGCCGCGCCCCCGCGAGCUCCAGCUCGACGGACCUCAAGCUACCGCCGGAUUCGGCCGGGAAACGGACGGAACCGUCCAUCCCCGACCUACGGUUGUCCCUGCCUCGCCGGAACGCCGCCCCACGACGCCACCGCGCCCAGACCUCCACGACGAGCCCACCAUCGCGUUUGUCUGCUGCCUCUGAUGGUGUCGGUCGAAGCCGAACCGCCAGCGCGCCAGAGACUCGCCGCCGACGGAUCCGCGCCUCCCUCCUCCUGCGCCGCCCCUCACCUCGCCAUUGCUGGAGAGGGAGCGUCUCGAU